rnacentral:RNase_MRP_RNA from 1 species
UUCGCAGCGCGCACACGGGGAGCCCGCUCCGACGGGGAGCCAUGGAUGCUGCGUUGCUCCCAAUGAUGAUGCAAGGAAAGUCCCCGUGCCUUGGUGCAGAGAGUGCGUGUGGGAGACCGCAGGGCCCGUACCGAACCUCCAGUGGUGAUGCUUCUCGCGGAGCCGUGGUGGCGGGUGUGGGUCCUUCGCAGCAGCACAGACAUGCCGUGAGCGCUUGCCAUGCGAGCGCCAACAGAACGGGGCUCACUCUC